rnacentral:rRNA from 1 species
GAUGAACGCUGGCGGCGUGCUUAACACAUGCAAGUCGAACGAAGCGAGAACUAAAGCGCAAGCAGAGGUUCUUGACUGAGUGGCGGACGGGUGAGUAACGCGUGGAUAACCUGCCUUUCACAGGGGGAUAACAGCUGGAAACGGUUGCUAAUACCGCAUGAGCCUCUUUUGUCGCAUGAGGAGAGAGGGAAAGAGAAAUCGGUGAGAGAUGGAUCCGCGUCCGAUUAGCUAGUUGGAGGGGUAACAGCCCACCAAGGCGACGAUCGGUAGCCGACCUGAGAGGGUGGACGGCCACAUUGGGACUGAGACACGGCCCAA